GGAGGCGUAGCUAAGGUGGUAGAGCUCUCGCUUAGCAUAAGAGAGAUGUCGGGAUCGGCACCCGACGCCUCCA